GGGGAUGGACUGUAGCUCAGUGGUAGAUCAUCUGCUUUGCAUGCAAAAGAUCCCAAGUUCAGUCCCUGGCAUUUCCA